UGCGUAGGCGGCUUUGCAAGUCAGAUGUGAAAUCUAUGGGCUCAACCCAUAAACUGCAUUUGAAACUGUAGAGCUUGAGUGAAGUAGAGGCAGGCGGAAUUCCCCGUGUAGCGGUGAAAUGCGUAGAGAUGGGGAGGAACACCAGUGGCGAAGGCGGCCUGCUGGGCUUUAACUGACGCUGAGGACGAAAGACGUGGGGUAGCAAACA
rnacentral:rRNA from 1 species